GAAAUCACUUCUUUUCAAAAUGGCACACUAAGGUCUUUAAGUUUCUAACAAAUCCUCUAAAAUACGAUCACAAUUGUCCCACAUUUCCCACAGGUUUCAACAACCCACUGCAGUAGAUAGAUAUUAAAGUGUCAUGCAUUUCACCACCUGGAAAACAAACAUUUCAUUAUCUCCCACCUAAAAUUUGAACAAUAUACAGUGCUACUACGUGACUCACAGAACAUGACUGUGUGAAUGGCAAUCGUAAUAAAUAUACAGCUUAUGGACUGGCACACACUUUCUUUUAUCUGAAGGUGGCAAUAUGCUUUGAAAGGCCUUUCACCUCAUAAAGACUGACUGCACAGAGAGAGUUAAAUAAGUCUAAUGAAUACCUUUCAGCUAGGACUACAGCUGCUAAACUGAAUACAAUUAGAUCUGCAACUCAUGAAAAGGAACUUGCAAAGUUCCUCUACUGCUGCAUCAGUAAAAUGUGGCAACAUUUACAACAUCCCCAUGUGACAAUCAGUGUUAACAGGUGAACCUGUAGAACCAGUAGAAUAUAUGGACAAAAUCACAAUUUGAAAUAAACUCACAGAUAAUUCAUUGUGACAAACUAAUCAGUUGUGUUUUACAGUCACCUGAUGAAGGCUCUUGACAUUGGAAGAAGCUAAACCAAUCCUGCAAGGAUCACCAUUUAUUUUAAAUGACAGUAUAAAAGUGUGAAAUGGCUUAGCUUCCUCCCUUAACAGGGGUUUUUUAAGUGCCUUAGAUGUAUUCCAAUCUAAUGCUGCACCCUAUUAGGAAAGAUAUAAUUUUUAAAGAGCACUAAUUUUCUUCCUAAUGUACUCACCAUUCAUUCGCUAACUAUGGAGUUUAAAGGAGUAAGUGGCAGAGACUAAAUGCCUAGUUCUUCUGGAAACCUGAGUUUCGUCUUGGUCAUCAUCACAAGUGAAAUGAGUAUAAGUGGCUCAGUUCAGGUAAUACCCACAACUGGUCAUGGCAGCUCAGGAGAACCCAGGACCCUGUAAAGGUGAAGGGGUGGAAGUAGUGGGGGGAGAUAAGGGAGUUGUGGGAUCAAUACAGGAGGUGAACUAGCAAGCUAGGGAAUUGAGCUUGUGCAGAGCUGUCAAUCUCAUCCAGGAAGGCAGAAAUACAGAAACAGGUUU